GGAGAGAGGGGUACGUCAAUAUGGGGGUUGUGCUCUUGUUAAAGCGUAAAAAUAGGAGAGAAUGAUGGAAAGGCACCACCACAAAGAGCCACAGCGCAAAACAAACCGAGUUUGGNNNNNNNNNNNNNNNNNNNNNNNNNNNNNNNNNNNNNNNNNNNNNNUAUAUAUAUAUAUAUAUAUAUAUAUAUAUAUAUAUUCUAGAAAGGAAACUUUUACCAGCUUGACUCCUGCUUAUUUAGGCCCUCUUUGCUAACAUUUUGGUAUUUUAUCCUUACAAACAAUCUCAGAAUGAAGAUUUCCAUGUUACAAUGCCGAAGAUCUUAGGUUGUGAGGGCCAUAUUAUAUCAACAAAUUGAUAUCAUAAACAAUGAAUUUUAGUGUUUAUUCUUAGGUCCAUGGUAGGAUAGUUGAGGUUUUGGACCAAAACCUAUUUCAUCCAUAAUACGAGCCAAAAUUGGCUACGGUCCAAUCUAUAAGAAAUUAUGCGGGCAUGUGUUUAGUUCCACAUCACUAAUUUGCUGCAUAAAUCUUAAUUACUUAUACGAAAUUAAGAAAUCAAAAUAAUAUCUUCCAGUUAAUCAUUCAGAGCUUAAAUAAGUAUUUUUAUUAGAAUUGAAGGGGGCAUGGUUUGAACCGCAUAGGACAAGACGCCAUGAGAUUGAGAUCAAAAUGUGGCCAGAUUUAGAGUACUAACUUUUUAUAAUAAUAGUAGGGCGGAUCUCCGAUCUGCCGGCUACCAACUUUUUGGAUUUCUACAUGCACCAUUGACACUAAGCUGAAAUUUUAAUUAAUAUAAUAUUAUAAUUAUAUUAUUUAAUUAACCGGUCAUGCAUCAAUAUAAUAGUAUUUUUUUGGUCUUUCUCGAUUGGAGUUGGGGCCGAUGAACGGUGGAAGAGACGUAUUUAUUCUAGGACGGGACGGGUGUGCAGUAGUUGUUAAUGAUGAUUUUUUGUAUAAAUUCUCCUAGCAAGUUACUUGCAUCCUUUGCUGAAAACGAACAUAAGAAUUUAUUAAGGACUGCAUCCCGCUAUGAUGUAAGCUCUUUGUUUCUGUCACUGCUUCACAGCACACUCGACAUUUGAGGAUCUUCCAUUGUUUUCUCGAGGAAUUUGGAUAGUUUGGUCUCAAAAAGUUUGUUUGUUCUUUUUUUUUUCAGGAAGCCACGUCAGUCGUUAUAGCUAAUUUUCUUUUGGUAGAUGGUUAUGGCGUCCCCAUCAAUGUCUUUACCUUCUUUACUUUCAAAUCCUCUCUAAUGGGUCAUUCCCAUCUACCUCAGCCACUCAUCAGGAUGUGCUGAAGCUACCACCACCUUCUAGUCUAGUAGUUCCUAAUUAGCUGGACAAACAAAAUUGUAGUUAGGGCCUGUUUGGUAUUUCAGUAAGAAUACUCUGAUAAAAAUCGUGCUUGUUGGCCUACCCAGCCCAUGGGCCUAGCUUUAAACCCGCUUGCGGGCCUGUUAGUUUGCAGGACAAAAAAUAAAUCUAUAGCGAUCUUUUUGUUCCCAUAGAUUUCGGGUUGCAGGGAUAUUGGAUGGAUACCGCCCAACAAAAGAAAUAGGAUAAAGACAAAUAACAAAAAAGAGAAGGUGGAAGAAAAAUAACCAGGAUAAAAAAAAAUACUUUUUUUAAAAAAAAUGAGCUACACAAGUUGAUUUCUACUCAAAUUCAACACCUACUGAAAGAUAAAGAUGAAAGUUAGAAUAAGACUUAUCACUACUAAAAGAUAAGAAUAAAACUCAUCACUACUAAAAGAAAAAGAUAAGACUUAUCACUACUAAAAGAUAAGUAUUUUAGUAGAAUAAAACUAGGGAUAGAAUCCCGGAUAAUCAAUGAUUCUUAACACCAACUUCAUCCCAUUCCUGUUGGAUUUUUCAAAGAGACCCUGGCAACGUUCUUUAUAAAAUAAUAAUAAUAAUAAUAAAAGUGGGUCCAGCUUAGAGAGUGCUGUUAUAAUUUGGUUAAAUAAUGUAAACGCAACACUGCUAGUUUGGUCCUCUGUUUCCCUUUUCUUUUCUGGAACAGCUAGUAGCAGAAUCCUAUAUUAUAAUAGUAGAAGGUAGUUGCAGCUGGCAUUAGGAUUCUCACACAAAUAACAUUAGGAUUCUUCUUAGACCAGGAUCGAGUUUGAUGAACGUGGCGUUGAUUCAUGCAGGAUACCAACCUCUCUGUCAACUGCACGUAAACUGCUCCCAUCUCCGAAACGUAUUGCUGUAAUUAGCACCUAAGCAGCUCCAACAGAGGCAUCGCCUCAUAGUAUAGCUUAUACCGACUGGAACUGCCCUCUCCUCACCCUGCACCUAAAGAGAGCUUGAUGGCAAAUUCCAAAUAGAGUAGUUGCUGUAACCAUUCUUCCGCCAUGGCACAGGGCACACCUGAUGGUCUGUGCAAAUGGCAGCAUGACCGAUGACACGCCGCACCUGCUCCACCUUGCAGUUCUACUUCUUCCUCCAUGGAUUUUCUUUUGUUUCCAGCACCUUAUCAGGAGCUCUCUUUAGAUGCAAUGGCUUUAAUCUUGCAGGGAAAAUCUUCAAGUCUAUAUGAAGUUCGAGUCUCCUUUCUCUUCUAACCUUUGUUCCAACAGAAACAACAAGAAGUGGGGAAUUAGACUCUCACUUCUCUUCUUUUCUAGAGCACUAGCCCGAACAUCAGGCCUGGGUUCAAGCAAUUCCCUGUAUUUGGAGAUUUGUAUCAACCACUCUGAUGGCAAGUGUAGGAGUUGUCUCCCUUUGCUGUACCCUGAACACAAUAAAGUGAGUCCAUCCUGAUUAUGGAGGCACACCCGAUUGAGAACUUGGAGGUUUGUUCAUGACAACGAUAUAUUUCAAAAAUUAAUCCAGUAUCCACCUAGUCACUAGAUUAUACAGCACAAGACAUAUCUCCAGCAUCCUAAACAAGUAGACUGAAGAGAUUGCAAGUAAUUUCUACCAUUUACCCUGUUCAUUAGAAGGAUUCAAGUGAUUUGAUUACAUGAGAUUUACUCGAGUAUAUUGUUAGUAAGUCAUGCAACAACCAGAAGUAAACAGGUGAACAAUGAAUCAUCUACUUUGAAAAGGGAGGCUGCCGCAAUAAUUAUCGGAGCCUGUAACAAAGCGUAAUGUUGUUUGUGAUAAAUUGUACAGACAUGGCAUCGAGAUCUACCAGAAAAUUCUUAACUCCCUUCACUUCCAAAGUGUGUCCGUGCUGAGCUCGGCUCACCAAUGGAUACUGAUGCUAGUGUCUUGCUAGCCCAUGACUUUGCAUUCAUUGCGCCUUUGCUUCUUUUGCAUGGAUUCAGCCUGCAGAAAACCUGCUUGGCUUGCACAAAAUAUGCCUGGGAACAGUCCCACAAGCUCAUUAAGCUUGCAUGCCUCGUGCAUCUCCACCAUGCAUUAAGCUUCGAAAGAAGAAAGUAGAGUAACCUCAAAAGCAGAAAAAAGGUAGCCAGCGCGAGGUAUGUAUUUUGCUGUAGCAACUUCUCCGGUGUCCUUGACCAAGAAUAUGGACAGUUUUUGCGAUUUGUUUCUUCCACGAACUCGACAAGGCUUGAUGAGCCAACAGUUACUUCCAGUGAGCUUGGAUCCAGUGAUUCAGGCUUAAUGCCUAGAACAAGUCAAAUGCACAUUAAAUGUAUCAUCAUUCUAAAGAAGGAAAAGGAUGCUGGAAAUGUAUGCCAGACUUUUGUAUUCUACUGCAUUAUCAACUUUUUUUGAUGGAAUACUGCAUUAUCAGCUUGCAGUUAUCCAUUCUUCCAUUUAAAUAAAAUGGUUUUGGAUAGCUCCUGUUAUCUGAAUAUGUAUCAUUCAAGAUGUGGAUUUUAACUUUAGACAGCCUUGCAGAUUUUGAGGAUUGUUAGUUCACACAUGACUGAAAUAGGCAAGUGUGCUUAAGAAAUGGUCUCAAACAUGUCAGGCUGCACUUUGCUGGUCAUCUAAUUUCUGUCACUUGAUGUUUUUUUGACUGUUUUCUAGAUAAGGCUAGCUGGUUUCUUUUCCUGUUAGAUAAUGUAGACUCUUGUCUGUUUCAUUAUCUCCCAGCUACAGGACAUAGCCUAAUUUUCUUAUUGCUCUGCAUCUUUCUUUCUUUCUUCUCCUUUUUUUAAAAGCCUUUCUGUGCCAGUUUCUAAAGUUUCUGAUAUCUACUAGUAAUUAAUCAAAUAAUCAAUAAGCUUGAGCAGAAUAUCAUGUCUAGAUUUCCAAUUUGACCAAAGAGACCAGUUGAAUCAUGGUCAAUAGGAAUACAAAGUGGAGUUACAGUAGUGAACUUCACCUUUAAGGUGGAGAAAAAAGUUAUCUUGAUUUCCUGCAAAGCUGUUAUAAAGCUUUAUUUUAACAGUUACUCUCUUCCCAGCAUGCAGUUGCUAGCAUUUAUCGGGAUGAUUAGAGAUCAAUAAAAGAUGCUUCUGACGGUCAUCUCAAAUCCUCUAGUUGUGAAACAAUCAACAGAAGUGAAAACUUUGGCAUUGCAAACUAUCGAAAAGGUUCAUAAAUAGCGAGCGAUGACAGGUGCCUGCGGAGGCAUGCGCUUUAAAUGGAAAUCCAGGUUUAACCUCUAAAGCACACCAAUGGUCUAGCCUGUAAGUUUUGCUAUACUCAGUACGUAUCAGGAUUUUCGAAAAAAAAUGCUGCGGUCAGGGAUUCCUUACAUUUCUUUUGCUCUCGAAAUGUCAAUAACAAUGGUGGGUUGCACAUGAUAAGGGAAGAUAUCUAGUUUACUGAAAAAUGGCCAAAGGCAAAGAACAAAAACAUAAAUGUCAUAUGAACAUAUUCAUGAUCGGGACCUAACAUAUAUGUUAAAUUUCAACAGCAAACCAGUUGAAUGGAAAACUUCUAGGAUAAAGUUCCCUUCGACGCUGACCUUAUAAUAGAUACCAAUCAUAAUGAACAAUGGAUACAAAAAUUCAAAAAUAGUCAGAAUGCAAAUUACCUGUAAUAUCACUGUAGAAAGCUACAAGAGAAUUGGUGCGUCGCGAUCCAUGAUACUGUACCCGAUAGGUACAAUUCAUAAUAAAGAGGGUUGGAAACCCACGGACACCAUACCUUGAGAGUAUGCUGCAAUUACAUCCGUCAGUCAUCUAUGAGGAUUCUAUGUCCCUAUAAAUCCAAGCCUACAGACAGAUUGCAGUGCACACCUUCGCCUGAUUAAAGAUUCUUCAACUGCAAAAUGACGAACAGUGGGGUACAAGGAAGACAGUACAUCGAAGCUUGGUCGGAAUAUUUUUGAGAAAGGACACCAAGAAGCAUAAAAUAGCACAGCCACAGAGGCCCCUUGCAUGCUGUAAAUUAGUUGUAAUGCUCUUGACAACGCAUGCUCACCCCCCUAAAAAAGUUCACCCCAUAAGCAAUGCAUCACUGCAUCAGAGUUCUAUAUAGAAUGAAAGCACAAUGCUAUCCACCAAUAUAUCAUGCUUAUCUUUACCCUACUUAUUAAAAAGAUCACCAAAUCAAAUUAUAAAGAGAACAGGAAGAACAACAAAACCUGCUGAACAAAUAUGGUGUCACAACAUGAACACCCAAAGUCUGUAACUAUCCUGAAUUGGUAACCCUUGGAAUAAGAAACAGUCAUGAUAUGGAUCAUUUAAACCACAUCAUCCUCACAGCAAUCCAAAAUAUUGUAACUGAUUUUGAUGCUCCCAAUAGUUCAUAUAUUGAACACCAUAUGUUAUUACUUGUCUAAUGAUUAUAGUUAUGUAAAUGCAUUUUGAAGAACAUGAGACAUCUAACUCCAAUUUUGCAGUUCGAAACAAGCUAGUCAUGAACUAAAACAUUGAAUCUUAUAAUAAUUUUUCUCUCUGGCCAGAUCAGAGUAGCCCAAAAUAAUUUAAAAAUCAAUUGUCUCCUCAAGUCAUUACUAAAGUGAGGAUUGUGAUUAUAUCUCCAUUGACUAUCCCUUCAGAAUGGAGGUGGGACUUCCAAUAAAUCAAAAAUGUAAUCCCCCAACUACAUCAGCAAAAUAUAUCUCUUACCUCCCAUUCUUAUCCUUUUACCAGUGAACACAAAGCUGUUGCUAAAGAGGCAUUUAUUAAAGAAUAUGGAUGGCCACUGAUAUAAGAUCCUAGAAAGAAUGGAAAUUAGCAUAUUAUUACAUGUGAGCUCAUGAAAUCUGUCAGCCUGUUAGAUCACAUGGUGACAGGCACUCUGACACACUGUGAACCAACUCUAAUGGAGAUGUUAGACUUUCUAAAUAUCUCAAAUUGCAAGUUCAUUAAACACAGAGUCUAGCCAGAACUAGCUUGCCAAACCUACUAAAAUAGAGCAACAUGUGGUUGGGUUUUCAGUUACGAUAUGAGUAGCAUGUGAGCAGAAAUUAGUUGAAAAAAAGAGCGAUAGUGCAAGUAUAGAGUUGAAUGCCUGAAUACAGAUUAACUGAGAGCACAUUCUGCAAAGAAUGACAUGGAAGAGAUCAUGAGGAACACUAUGCAAUGCAUGAAUGUGGUACCAGAAGUGUGUCCCUUGAGGCAAGAGUAGCGAACGUGGAUCACAGAAAGAUGAGCGCAAAGAAAGAAUCAACUAUAUUAUGUAAAAAGACCAUAAAAAAUAAUAAAAAGAAAUAAAACUUUGGUCUUGAUGCCACAGUCAGACAAUUUUCAGAUAAAACAAAGGAAUAAAGCAACUACUAUCCACUGGGCAUCAGAAUAUCUACUUCAUCGUGUUAUGAAGUGAAGCAACCACACAAAAGUAAAAGAGUAUCUACUUCAUCGUCAGAAUUUUCAGGUUGAUCCUAUGACCCAAGGGAUUCUAUGAUGCAUAAUAUGUGUGUAGAACUUAUGAUCCUAACUGAUCCCAAUCCAUGGACGAGAUUCACAUCAUUUGCGGUUUCGAUCCGACAGUAAGGUCCAAACUGUGGAUAACUAACAGCAUCAGAUACCUGUUAUCUGGAUAUCACCUUUUCCUUGAACGUGAAUGGAAAUUCUCACUCGCAAUCAUAAUUAUUGACUAUUCUUGACCAGCUUUAUGAGCCCUUCUACAUCAAUAAUCCUUUAAAGGUUAAAACAGUUAAUACUAAAACAAAUUGCAUUUCCUUUUUUGUUGCAGAUGUCCAUACCAUCCCAGCAGUCUCUCGGCCAACUGUCCUUAAACCACACAAUGACCACACUUCCUCUAAUGUACAAAUUCCUUAUCCCAGCAUUCCUACUUUUACCAUGUAUCAACCUAUCUAAGAUUCUCAAAUUCUGAGUAAUCUGAUGCUCUUUAUUACUCAACAUUUUGAACCAUACAGAAUUUUUAGUCUUUGCCUGAUCCCCCCAUCCCAACCAAAAUAAAAUAAAAAAACAUGCUUCUAUGAGAAAGAUCCCACCACAUUACCCUAAAAUUUUUGCAACAUUGUUAAACAUCAAGCGUACAUUUCUAUAGUAAAAUGACUGCGGAUCCACAUAAUCACCUCAACCACACCCACGAAUCGUAACCAAUCCGUCAUUUUCUCCAUACAUAAGCCCCAUCUUGGCCAUUAAACUAUCGUACCAUUUGGCUAUUCUCUUACAUCUUUCUUCCUUCGAGAAAAGCUCCUCCUCAUUUCUGAGUCUUCACUGGUCGCUCCUUCCCUCAAGCCGCCCGGCCAUAAAAAUAUCAUCUUUUGUUCUUUAAAAUCUAAUGUACUAAUCAUCCCAACAAUUCAAACUAUUUGCAGAAAAAAAGCAAUAAGUACGAGAUUGCAUCAUUCCAUGGACGAGGGAUGUGACCAUAUGCAUGAAAUCCCAAUUCUUUCCAAAAUUAUGUAGCAAAUUGGGCCUAAUUUCUCUCCAUAAGAUACAAAGGACGCAUGGAACUGGAGCAGAAGCUAAAUUCUGAGACGUCACCUCGAUGACGCUGCUCGAAUGCUCAUUGUGGGCCGGAAAAUCCACGGCAGUGCACGAAUUCCGAUGCCCGAGGAUCGAGUCGCCGGCCGAGACCCUGGGGCAGAGGCCCUCCGUCGGCGGCGCACCGCAGGCGUGGCCUCCCGGCAGCGACGCCGCUCCAAGCAGGAGAAGAAACCCCGCCGUCCAAACCCUCGUUCCCAUGGUUCCUAGCGUAGAGGCUCAGAGAAGGCAAGCAGGAGAAAAGAAAUCCUUCGAUCGAGGGUUUGGAUGAGAGAAGAGAAAGGAGACGAGGAGGAACGCACGGCCUAUAGUUCGUAGCUCUCGUCGCCAUUCAUGGCGGAGAGAGAGAAAGGGGAGCACUAUUUCUGCUUCACUUUUAAUGUCUCUCGUCUUCCAACCAAGUGGCGAGCGAAGACGAGGCCCAGCCCUGGAUAUAAGAGUUAGGUCGGUGUGGCCUUGGAGCAAUUGGGAGGAGGACCAGGUCAUGUUAGGCGCAAGGUGGUCAUCUGGCCCUCUUGGAUGUGGGAGGGUGAGGCUGGUCAAGGUUGGGUUGGAAAAUUAUUAAUUUGGUUCAAGUUGAAGGCUUCAUUGAUCUGGGAGGGUGAGGUUGGUAAGUAUAGGUUGGAAAAUCUUAGCCUGAUUUAAAUCGGAUAUGGUUCUGGUUGAAGAAUCCACAGAUGUAUGUGGCCUGCCACUUCGGAGAUAUCCUGUGGGCCGAUGAGGAGGAGUUGUCGAGAGCACUCCAAGACUUGUUGUUCUUUAAUUUUAUUGGAUAUAUCCGUACUCAAAUCGUAUAAAGUGCCCGUUUUAGCAAAGAAAAAAAAACCCACAUGUGGGAGGCUUAGGUUGAUCAAGUUUGGGUUGGAGUAUGUUUAAGCUUCCAGUCUCUUGUAAUGCUGGCUUUAUUCCUCAAUAAUAGUUGGAUAAAUUCAAGGAUUCUACCACGGAUGGAAUCAUUUCUGACCUUGAGCUCUUAGAGAGAUGUGGGUUGGCUAGGUCAUGGCCAUGUAGCCUUUCUUAGCAUCUGACCCAAAAUGGGAUUUUUAUGUUUUUCUAAUUCUCAAAUCAAAGUAAUUGAGGGUAGAACAAGGACAAUUUAUCAAGGGGUAGGAUACGUUUAAAGAAAAGAUUGUGACACCCCCAUAUAAAGAUUCUAAUAUCUCUGCCAUGUCACCCAUAAUUUAAGGGCAGGGUGUAAUUUGAAAAAGUUAUCAUUAUAUCUCUUUUAGAAUCCAUUUAUUGUUUGACCUUGGAAUGGGCCCCGCGACCAUUUUAAUUGUGUCGGGCCUUGCGAGUCCAACUCGAGACUAAUCUAACCCCAAACGUGGCCCAACAAGAUCCAUUGUACUCUGGAUACACUAGACACGAUAUAUUACUUCAAAAUAUUAUUUAUGUAGACAAAUAUAUAGGAUAAUGGACUGCAAAGAGUGUUAACCAUCAACAUGUCACUUUUAAUAACUACAGCAGGGCUAUAGUACCAGGGAGUGGGAAUUCUACCAAUAGUGUUUGCUGUUUGGUGAUUAGCGUGUGGGGCAUCUCUCUUUGUAACAGGGGUUAAGGGAGCCAAAUAAAAGAAGAUGAUUCAAGGCAGCCUAAUUACUUAUCGGGUGUAUUUUUGCGAUAAUGGUAUUGCGAUAAUACAUACAAUCCCUCCAUUUGUUUAGCAUAUUUAUUUUUUAAAUCUUGCUAGUGUCAUUAUGAUGAAAAAAAAGUCGUUCGACAUCAACUCUUCCAUAUUUUGACUACAAAAACAUCUGGCCUGCCGGAUUCAAACCGGCGACCUAAGGAUUUAGGUCGUUUACUACCCAACUAUGGUUCUCCACUCUACCGAGCUAAAGUCGGCCUGGCAAAAUUUUGUAUUUUUUUCUGUUUAAUCAUAAUUUUCGCUUCGGUAGUUUUUGCAGCAACAACAAGAUCCAGCCUGAGAGAAACAGCUGACAAUUGUUGUCCCAAGAAAAUGUUUGUAGAAAUGACAUGAUGCACCUCACAAACAGGAGUCAUGUAAGUUCAUUUUAUCUAGCAUAGAUCUGAGAAUGUUAGUAUCAGAUUCUGUGACAUAUCUCAGCUUCAACAGUUUUAGCAUGUUAAAUAAUAGAAUCGGGUCAGUCCAUCCCUCUGUAAGACAUCCUAAUUUUGAAGUGCAUAUAUCAUGGACUUGGGUUUUAUUACCUUUUUGGUUUGGGUUUUAGGGGCUUUAUGCCCGAGUUAUCCCGGAUAAAUAGCCGAACGGGCUAUGAAGGCCUGGUAUGGCUGAGAUCCCUGAGACCCCGCCCGCGACCAAAACCCAGGCCUUUUGCGGGCCUUGGGACUCUUCUACUCCUCACCCUCGAUUGACCGUCCUCUCUACCCACCCGGAGUUGUUGUUAUUCAGGCUAACGUAAAGAAUGUGGAAUAAAAUUAUGCAUGAUGUGCUGGGAUUAUUACAAUAUGCAGUUAGAUUAAUACGCAUUAAUGGAAGAGACGAGAUUCCCAGUGACAGAUUUAACCUUGUGGUAAUCAGUAAACUUUAUAUUAAUCUUGCCUAUCGGGUGAGCAAGCUUAAAUAUCUUUUCUAACAUCUUGGUACCUCACUGCCAAAUCAUUUCAUGUACAUGAGAUACCAUGAACGCAGCUAAUUCGUGGUCCGUUUAGAGAUCAAAAAAAUAAAGACAAUUAGGUAUUAGCUUACAAAUUAUAUUUAUCUCUCACAUCGACGACUGAGAUGAGCAAUAUAAUGGUAUGGAUGCAUAGAAAGAAACACUGCAGCAAAAGAGGAUGCAAUUUAAAAAGGAAUAAAUAAUAGAGUUGAAUAACAGGUCGGUGAUAAGGAAUAAAGAAUAUACUUAAAACAGUGGGUUUUUGGUCAUAACGAGUACAUAUGUUACAGCAUCAUUCAUUUAUUUCUUGAUCGUUUUAAAAAUAGUAAUAAUCACUUGCAAACCUUCAUCAUCAUAUCCUUACACUAACCUUUUCGCUGACAAAAACUGAACGUACCCUUUGCUCUCCAAGCUGCUCUUUCUUAAUUACAUGAUCUAUGGAGACCUUGCGGUUCCACAGUAGUAUGAGGUCUCCAUUCUUCCUUCUUCCAACUCUUGUGGAUACCCCUUUAUGAUGUGGCUUUAUGACAAUUACCAUCCAUGAAGUAAUUGGAUACCAUAUACCAUGUGAAAAACAAAAUAUGGUGAAUCCUAUCUAUUUCUGUUGUUUCUUGAAGAAGGGCUUCUGACAAAUUAGCAGUUUCUCAUUGCUGUUAUUGUCAAGCUCCAACAUGCGUGCAUCCCAUCUUAACUGUGUUAUAACAGAUCGGGCUGCUUCGAUGAGAGGAGCUGUAUCAUGAAGUAAUACCCAACCCUGCAUACAGGCAAGCAAGCAACAGCUUUUGAAUCAAAGUAGCACAAGAGCAAUGAUACUUAUAUCUUACUGGUUUUGUGUUAUACUAUAAUGACUCGAGUCAAGAUAUAAGCAAGUAUCUUGGAGAUGCCGAGCAGUUUGAACUUAAAGGAUUAAGUUCUUUGCAUUCUAUAGGUACUCUAAAAUUCAAUGAAUUUUGAUUCUUGAAUAGAAUAUGGAUCCACUGCUUUUGUCCUUCUUCUGUGAAAAAGAGUAUUUCUGACCUCUUAAACUACAAAAACAAAGGGAAAAAGAAAAGGUACGCAGAGCAAAGGCAUGAGCCAAAUCUCUUGUGAAAGGAUACAAUAAAGUACAAAAAUCCAAUUCAGGCAAGCAACUAUGUCCAUGCAUAAUAUUGUUGAUGCCCAUUGGGUAUUAGAUUGCGCUAUAGGGCAACCACAAGGUGCAGGGAAUCAACCAAAGCAUGUCCGAUGAAGAAGAGUGAAUGAAAUGUUGUGAUAACACUGUAGUCUAAUCUCGUAGAUAGCUAUAAAAAUGUCUUGAAAAAUGAAAAAUCAUUAAUACAAAUAUAAUUUGCUUAUUCUGGUAGAAAGGCCAACACAAACUUCAAUAGCUGUGUCUUGUGGUAUCUUCGCUAAAGUAACUGCUGCCCUUAUAAGGAUUCAAAGCAACCACUAAGCACAUUUGAACAAAAAUAUAGACACUGUUGAAUGAUAAAACAUGAGGUUUUGGCUCAUCCCACAGAAAAUUUCCCAGAACUAUACUUGCAGACUGAAGUAAAGCAAAACUCUUCCAAACUUUAAUAGCAAUAGCCAAUUCUUAAAGAUGGCUGUGAAGUCCUUAAAUGAAUUAUAAUCUCUGCAGAACUAGGGAAGAUCUCUAUAAAAAAACUUUCUGAAACCAUCCGGCCAUAUCCACCUAAUACAAGCAAAACUCGGCAACACUCAAAUAACAAUCCAGUUUCUGCAAUGACUGUAAAAUCCUUAAAAAUUUUGCAUCAUCCUCCAAUCUAGAACCGAACACUGCUUUUGAUAGGCUGAACUGGCAAGCUUAUAUUUCAGAUCUUUGCUUGAGGCUAACUGCAUCUUCCAGUCCUUUACAUGGGAAAUUAUUUCAAACUCAUCUUAUCAGCAGCUCCAUAACAGAAAUAACCUAAUAAAAUCUGAAGCAAGUUCUCUGAGUUGCUGUUGCAGUUGUGCUAAUACAAUAAAACAUCUUGUUAAAUCUAUUCUAAAAACCUUUUCUCCAUGCAUUGCAGUUCAACUCCAACUCCAGCCUUAACUAUGAAUAGACUGAUAAAGUUACUCCGUCCUAAGCUGUAUUUGGUAAAACUUACUGUUAGAUGAAACCCACAUAUAAUUACGACUCUCCAAUAUAUUUCAUACUUAAAACAUAAAAUUCUUGAGUAUUCAAUGCCACAAAAUGAUAUAAGAUAACCUUAAUAGAAUUGGAGAUGAUCAGUACACAGCAUCGAAUGAUGUGAAGAUAUUUCGGAGAUAUGUGAAAUACUUUUGACCUUCAAAUAGAAAUUUCUCCAAAGGCACAGAGGACAAUAAUUGGUAGUGAACCCAUGGAUAUGGUGGCAUUAAGAGAACAAAUUUGGACCAGCCCCCUCCAAGUUAAGAAUUCACUCUUGCUAACCAAAAUAUUAACCCAGGAUCCUAACCCGCAUCGAGACCUAGCAUAUAUUAUAAUUCUCAUACGUGACUGGGCAGGCUCGAACCCACUAAUGGGCACUGGAUUUUCACCUUUAUUUUCACAUUUACAUUGAAUGAUAAUUCUAACAAAAAAGUAGAAUGAAUAAUGUUUGAAACUUAGUAAUUGUUUUUAGCAAAGUUUACCAUCUGGGUACUGGAACCCAUGCCAGUACCAUCCUAGUACAGUAUUAGUAUGCCCGGUAUGGGCGUCGGUUUGGUGUACCAACAUUCAAUAUGCUCCCCAUACUACAUUCCAACAUGGUACCAGUUUGGUAUGGUACGUUCAAUAUGUACCAGUAUCGACCGAUAUGGCAUACCAUGACUUCUUAGUACUUGUAUUCACACAUAACACUUCCUCGUUCCUUAUGCAUACAACAAUAUUUGUGCAGCUCAGGGAAUGUUUAGAUGUGAUGGACAAUAUAGUUUUCUUCUCCUUCAUUGCUGGCUGUAUGAAGAUAUCAGUUGCACAUCAAAACAUUGUCACUAACAUAUAAGAGGUCCAUAUGAAACUUUGUUAAAGAAUAUCAUACCUCGGGUCUGAGAAUACGAUCUACCUCCAAGAAUAUAUCAAUCAUGGAACACCUGUCUUGUUGAUUGGUCUCAAGUGUUAGCAAUCCUUCAGCAUGCACCAUAUCAUAUGUUCUUGGAUAUGUUGGAAAUGCUUCACACCUAUCAUAGAUAAGAAUUCAUAAGUAAAUUUCUUAUGUAUUUUUCUAAAGGAUAAGAUGAACAAAGAAAUGGUAAAACAGGUAAUUAUCAAAAAAAUGCCAAGUAAACAUCAAAAAGUUAAAAGAGUAAAUCCAUAAUAUUAAUAUCCACAUUCUAGUCAAAACAUCUCGGUGUUGAAAAGCCUAAGUAUAGCUACAUGAACUAUCAUUAUGAACAUUUGAGUCUUAAAAGAUAAGAAGCUGGAUGACUUACAAAGACAAAAGGGAAGAUCAAUAUAUAGUUAAAAAAGUUAAAUGAGGGAAACAGUCGAGGUGGCGGCUUAACUGCAGAAAAAAUCAGGAGAAGGUCCAGUAGCUAGAUAUUUUAAUCAGAAGAGUGGAUCACUGAGCAUGCAUUUGGGUUUACCAACAAAAUCAUGAAUUCCAUGAAUCUACAUCUUUCUUAAGAGAACAACUUAUGACUUUAUACAUCUGAGUGUUUGAUUCUGCAGCAAAAAUCCAAAAUAUUCUAAAAUAACAGAAUAUUCUAUUUUGAGUAUAAUAUUCAACAUUCUUGAUUCUCCCUCUAUACCAUCUCAUAUUGUUUUUCUUUUUGAGCCUCCCCCCUUUUAGCAACCAAAACAUCUCCUAAAAAUCUCAACAAUCAAAAAAAAAUUGUCAAGUCAUGUAAAAUGGUAUAAUCAUGCUUUUAAUGUUAGAGACCCCCAAAGGCAACCUAUGGGGAAAAGAAUGAUUUUUACCCCAGGAAGAUCCACAUUUAGGUGGAGAUAGAAGAAAUGAAAUGCUUAUGCAGACCAUUGCUUGACCAUCAGUCAACAAGAAUAAAAGGGAAAAAAAAUAUACUGCAAAGUUGUCAGCCAAUAAAAGCAGACAUGCAUACCAAUCAUGAUGAACACCAAUGAAUCCCCUAUCAAAGAUAAGAGGAAGGUAGUUGGGACCACUUGUGGGAACUACAUUCAUAACCCAUGCAGUCUUCCCAGCAUCCAAUAAAGCAGCAUUAAAGCUGCCAAAUCGAGCAUUCAUGUCUAGUACAUUUCUGAGCAUGUUGAAGGGUGGGGAAGGAUCUUCAUCACCAGGUCUCUUUGGAUGAUCUGAGAAUAUCAGCGGUGAAAGAAGAGUCCAAUAAUUAUGAACCACAGACUUCCAGUUCAAUGCAUCCUCUGCAAAGUCCCAUGACUGUAAGCCUGAUGAAGGAAAAGCAUGAGUUAACAGACUGAAAAGUGAAAAGGAAAUUCAAUUUCUAACAAUGAUUUUUCAUAAUGCAGGCAUGACAGUAAAAUAAUUAGUGAUCACAUGGGUAUGCAUAUUAUUUUGGUGAAUAUGAUUAUACCAUAGAUAUCAAGUUCAGUGGAGUUUAAUGUAGCUCGAGAAGGCCAUGGUGUCCGGUAUUCAAUAGGAAGCCAUCUCUGACUUCCGGUUCCUGCUAUGCAAGGAUUGAGUGGUUGGUAAUAUGGAGACUCAAGAUCGUGAAUUCUGUCACAGACAGGAGGUCCAGAUUUCCUAGAGAUGUUUUCAUCAAAUCAAGAUAAAUUAGGCAACAUUCAAACCACAUGUAUUGAGACAGAUGACUGCUCUUAUUGCAUGAGAUAUAAUCUGACAGCAGAGAGAAAAACCUAAUUCAUAAAGAAGGGGAUUGCAUACCGAGAACUAUAACAUUUCUUCUUGGUAGUCUUUUUCCAUACAAUUGUCUCCUCUUGUUGUGACAUCAUAUCCCAGCAGAGCUUCUCAGCAGAAUCAUGAAUAAGUGACCACUUCUUCUGAUUAUCUUUAUCAUGCAGUAAUCUUUGAGUAUUUGUAAGUGAGGUCCAGAUAAAGUAACCUCCAGGCCUUAAGAGUCUGUCAACCUCAAUCAAGAAAAUACCAUCUGUAACAGCAUCAUAGGAGCAAGUUAGCAACUAAAUGGAUCGGCAAAACGCACGUACUUAAAUUCCAAGUGUAUGGCCAAUAAUAGGAAAUCCAGCUUCACUCACCACCCAUCUUCCCCAACACCCCCCCCCCCCGACCCGAAAACCAACAGGCCCCAAAAAAUGGAGAUGUGCGUCUAGUUUUUGACGUAGUUUAUAGCUCUCUGAUAUAAAUAAUUUAAUUACAACAGUCAGCCAUAAUUAAUAGAACAUCAGCUGCUUGAGAAGUGAAACAAGUAGACAAUUCAAAACUAAGAAAAUGAUCACAAUAUAUACAUACAUACAUACAUUGUGAUCAUUUUUUUAGUUUUGAAUUGUCUACUUGUUUCACUUCUCGAGCACCUGAUGUCCUAUUAAUUAUACUGACUGUUGUAAUUAAAUUAUUUAUAUCAAAGAGCUAUAUAUAUAUAUAUUACAGCUAUCUAAUUGGAAUGGGUGCCCUUCAAAUAAGAAUGAUGACUAUAAAAAUGCUUCAGUAUAACCUUUCAUCCAAGCAGCACCCUGGAACCUUAUGCUUGCAAAGGACUUCAUUUUCCAGUGCUGGCAGAGUUGAUGGCAUCGCAUAAUAAAGAUUGCCAUCCACAGAACUUAUAUUGUGCAUUUACACUUGAGUAGGGUAGUCUCUUUAGGUUUUCGCAUCCUUCUUGCUAGAAGAGUGUAGAAGCAGCACACCCAAUUUGGGGAAUAUGUUGCUUCUACAACAUCAUCACCAAUUCUAAAGGUUGUUAAUCAUUUUGUCAUUUCUUAGCAAGAAAAAGAAAAGACUAUGAUGAAGUGUGACGCUUAAACUGUUUUUUUCCAAGCACAUAUAUACAACAGAAUAUAUACAUUAAAGAUGUUAGAAAGAUGAUAGAUGGAUUGGUACACGACAUUUUGCCUUCCAAACCCAAUUACCCACUUAACCCAGGAAUUACUCCACCAUGUAGGGUGGAGUAAUUUAUCGCAGCGUAAAGAGGGGUAGGAGCACGUUAACAAAUUUACUCCAGGUUAACUGAUUCCACUUCCAAAUGAAGCCUUAAUAGAACAAUUUAAGGUAGGUAGAAUACUGGAUGAAGUCUGUAAUAUGUCACAAUUCUGAGGUCACUAACCAGGCAAAUAUCAUUGCCCAGGGCUAGAUGGAAGAGAAUAAAAGCAGAUGCUGGGACCACUCAUAAAUCAUGAAAGAAAAAGUGUAGCUGCAAUAAUACCACUGCAAGAACACCUAGAUAUUUUUUUAUAUAUAUUUCCUGAUUGUCCUUCUAGUUUUGAUGUUCAACAAUAAUGAAAACGAACAGGCUCAAGGCUUCAAACAUUCAUGCAAAUUAUCAAAUUUAGAAGAAGUGGAACUAUCUAUUUUGCUCUUUCUGUCAAGCAUCCCAAUCAACUGUUUGGAAAUCUACAAUAGUAAGAUGGUUACUUCAUCACAUUAAAUUCCAUAUAUUUUUACACAGACACACACAGAGUUGGGAGAGAGGGGGAGAGAGUAUCCUAUAUACAUUUGCAGUAGCCUAUAGAAUGCAGGGAGGAAUCGAACUUCUCCUGGAUUCUCAACUGACUGAAUCCUAGAUUUGCCAUUUCAUUUAUUCUUUACUGGAAGAAGACUGAGAAACUAUAUGCUGUUCAAAAGCAUAUUCCGAUGUAACAACAAAAUGUACAUCAGAUAGGUCGUCAAAUUUCUCUCAUAGGUCAUCAUUACAAACUUAAUGAGGCAUGGUGCACACAGCACAAGAGACAUAAUACAAAGGUAGACAUCAAGAUUUAGCUUCAUAUCAUUAAUACAAGGUUAACUACAGUUGGGGCAAGAGGAGGUCCAGAUUUGGGUUGGAUACUGGGAUUAGGAGCAAAUCAUCAAAUAAAAGCGACAGUAUCAACUAAAAACUACCAUAGCUGACAUCCUCUUGGAUGGGAGGAAAAUGAGGGGGGAAGGUUGAGACCGAGGCAAUGGAGUCUUAUCACAUUGGAUGGAGUUGGUUGUUCUCAAAAAUGAUUCACUUGAUACUUUUCGAAAGACUAACUAAUGAGCAAUUAUAGUUGGCAACCAAGAUUUCUAGAGUCGAAAUCUUCAACAUGACUAUACUCUUGAAUUUUGGGUUCCUCAUCCCCUGCCAUUAUUCUGAUCUUGUCUGCCUCUUCAGGUGACUAUAUUGGUUGACAAAGAAUGCAAAAUCCAGCAUUUACAUAAAAUAGUAGUCAAACGAGAUAAUUAAACAAAACCAAGUGUCCUUCCCUGCUACUGAUCAUAUUAGCAAAUUUUCCCAUAUCAUGGGUGACAUUAUUCUUGACUCUACACUUGUCCAACUUAAACAUCAAUUCUCUGGAACCUAAUUCCUAUAUUCUAACAGGAAUACUUCUGAAUACGAUUUGACAUCAGAAUUUGUCCUGUAAUAAACUAAAUGGCUAUUUUGAUCACAGAGUAUUUUCAAUCACUUACGUUUCAUAAUCAUGUAGCUGACUCUAUAAAAAACAUCUAGUCAAGCUUGGUUAAUUAAGAAUAUUGUGGCCCAGAUACAUUGUGGAAAGAGUAAAUAGGAGAUAUGUACAAUCAACCAAGAAUAGUAAAUUCAGAGCAAUUACAUAAUUUAGUGCAAACCUUUCUUCUCCCAGUCAAUCUCACAUCUUGCACAAUGCACAAUAUCAAAAGAGAGGUAUGGAUAUGGCAACUGUUUUGAUGACAAAAGAACCGAUCAUAGCAGGCAUGCCUCUUUNNNNNNNNNNNNNNNNNNNNNNNNNNNNNNUCAUAGUUGGCAAUACACAUAGUCAGCAACUGUCUGGAGAAGAGGUGUGCCCCAAAGCUACCAAAGCCGCACCCUAUAUCUAAGACAGUUCUAAUCUGCAAGAUUAUAGUUGAAAGUAAUCCACUUGAUAUUGUAUAUAUAGAUGAGUAAUAAAGAAAAUUAGAUAAUUUCCUAAGAUUGAUGGUUCAUGCAUUUGAGGAUGAACCUUGCUGGAAUCCAAAACUACAUCUAAAUUUAAGCAGCUACAGAAAGGAUCAAUUAUAAAGAAAAGUUUCAUGUUAAGCAUAAAACAGAAACACAUAAGAAAAUUGUUCAAUUAACUGACCUUGGUUCAAGAAAUAGUGUUCAGUCCAAUUUACAUAGAAGUUUCUUGUUGAGGUCUAGAACCAGUUUCAAUCUUAACAGAGAUUGUCUCAGAAACAAUUAAAGUCAAAAUUAGCAAAGUCAAGAUUUUGGAAAUAUAAUGUGAGGUUUGUCACAUGAAACCAUGACGCCAAGCGCAAAACCAUAAAUAUUUGUGCAGUGCGGAACACUGAAAUAGACUGGAUGAGUUUUCAUUCUAAAGAAAAUUUCACCAGAGAUAUUAUACACAUUAACAAAACAUACAAUAUCAAAUGAUGAAUGUAUCUAUAAUUAAGAUAAUGUUAUAGACGAUUAAAUCAUUAACAGUAAUAGUAUUAUUUGCAUAUCAUGUAAAUGUCAUCUUGGAAACAUAAAAAGGGUGUACAAGUGCAUGAGGCUCCUGCCACUGUGUUUGGGAAGGGUCAAAUAUAUCCAACAUUACCACCGUAUGCAAAAAGGCUAUUUCCAUAUUUCAAAUUCAUGGCAUCUAGGUCAUAAUAGAGCAACUUUAUCGGUGCACUAAGACCUACCCUCACCUUUGAAAUUUAAAAAGUUGCAAAUUCAUGAAAAGGAUUAAUUUUAGAACCAAAAAUAAAAUUAUAAGGAGAAAAUUGAGAGAUGUAGGAGGCUUUGGAAAAUAAAUGGAUAGAAAAAAUAUACAAGAAUAGAAGAAAAAUCCGGAGAACAAGGACACAAGGCAAUGAUCAUUCUGAGAAAAAUCAUGAAAAUUUGCAUCUCCAGUAAAUAUGUACAUUUUUUUCCUAGAAAUCUCAUAAAAGGGUAUCAUCUAAGAAGAAAAGAGCAGUAUUGUCAAGGGAAAAUUAAAUAGGUUAUGUUGACUUCAUUUUCUUCACAAAUGGGUAGAAUCAAAAUUAAUCACCAAUCAAAAUCAAGGUGGGUAAAACAAAGUCUUUGGUUUUUGAUGACAAAUAAUUUCAUUAGCUCAUGGCAAUUGAAGUUGUAAUAAUCAUCACAGACAGAUAGCAUGCACUGAGGAAUUGUUAUAGUGAUAGUGUGAUCCCAAGGAGCCAUAAAUAUAAGAUUACAACAUCAAAUACCUGACUGCUUUCAAAAUUGAGAAAUAAAUGAGGUUAACAGAAAGAAAAAGAGUUCGUGUGAUCUAUAAAGGAAGUGCAAAAUCACACUGUACUUCAGAACAAUCUGAAAGCAUGAAACGUAAACUACAAACUAGAAUCCAGUCCAAAGUAUAGCCCAUCAAAUCUCUUUCUCAUAUAAUUUUAAUAUUUUCCCACACAAUGUAAUAUCAUCAGAAUAACAUAAUUAGAGUCAAAAAAAGAAUUGCUGCAUAACACUUGUACAGUACUUAAUUAAGUUAAGCAAGCACCAUUUAAAAAGUACCAUUAUCAUAAAUUCAAACUAGUUUCAGUAAAUUAGCUUUUUGAUAAAUUCUAAUAUUCUUUCUGCUCUUUACUUUCCAUUAUAAGCAUAUACAAACUGAAUAUCUUGAUUAUGUUCAAGGACCAAACAGUGACCUGUGAAUGGAAAAAUUGUACUCACCCCUGCUUCAUUAAAAUUAGACUCAUUUGUCAGCCCAAUCAUCUCUGCUAUCUGAUGUGCAUAAUCUUCUACUCCAUCAACCAUAAGGGAGUCCGAGCGAAACGAGAUCUGCUCUUCUUCCACCAUCAUCCUGCAAUCCAACAGCUCUUAUGCCAGAACUGUUAAAUAUAACAUAAAAACAAGCUAAUUAAGAAAACAAUAGAGCCACUGAACCUCUUUGUCAAGCUCCCAGAGGAGAACUCGAGCCCAGUGAUCUUCACAUUCUCCUUCCAAAUGAAGUUUCUCCCACUCGGCCACCUAAUGGGAAUUCUAUAAUUCCUCGGCGGCAGAACUAAACAGCCAUGUUCCUUGGCAGACUCCCGAACACACUGGCGCUCAUACUCCAUUGUUCCAUCUGGAUCUCCGGCAUCCAAACUCUCCGAAACAUUGCAGUAACAUGGGACAUAAUCCUCAUACUCAGAUGAGCAGAAUUCAAGCUCCCUCAACUUGGCGGAACCAAGCGACAGCUCACCGAUCUCCGAGAGGUCCGAGACAAGCAGCUCCUGCAGACGGCGGUGGCCCCGGUUGAUGGGAACCUGAGACAAGGUGGAGAUGGAUAUGGUCCAAUAAAGGGAGCCGAGGAGGGCAAGCACCAUGACAAGGGCCAAGCCUAGCUUGACGAAGGGAAGCCCUGUUCCCUGCCGGCUCUGACAAGCUCCGGCCUCGUGCCCGAAACCAUUCUCAGCAAAAUCCUUCGAGUAAUCCUGAUUGAAUGGGUCUCGGUCGGAGAUGCCAGUGAUCCGCCCACUGCCGGUGGACCACCGGGAAAGCGGCCUCGACAUCGCCCCCUGCCCCAAUGCUAAUUCACCAGAAGACCAAAUCAAACACCUUCGAAUCAAAUCUAAGCAAAUUAAAGGAGACACCUUUCCUGCCCCCAAGACAAAAACAAGUAUGGAAGGAGAAGAGCGUUGUUGGAAAAAGAGAGGUUGGCCUUCAACUUGGCCACGAAAGGGUCCCCGUAAAUGUCGAUAUCACAGUAACAAAAGAGAAACAAAGGAGGGAACUUUUUCCAAAGGGAGAUCUUUGUGGUUCAGUUCCGGUUCAGUAAAGUGCAGAACAUGGCAUUGGAGGCUGGAUUUCUUAUCAUUCUAUGAAGCUCCGCCGGACCUACCAGUAGAUCAUUAAAAUUUAGAACACCAAGAUGAGACUUUUAGAAGAAAAAGGGAAAAAGAACGCAUAUGGGCGGUCGAGAAAGAUCGAAAACAAAUCCCACAAAUCCCAGCUUUCUCAAGGGAAGAAUCUCAGGAGCUCAUCAAAACCAGAGCGGCAUUGCUUCAUAGCCUCUGUUUCAAUUCAAAGGUCUCACCUUCGUCCUUGAAUCUCUAUUAUUUCUUCUCUUCUUCUCUUCUUCUCUUCUUCUAUUGAAAGAGAUGGCAAGAGAGGAAGAAUCCGCGUUUUCUCCCACCGCCGCGCUUCUAUUGCCUUCACUCGCUCGUGAGGCUGGAUUCCAUUGCCCAACCGGAUCCCCGUAGCAGCAAAUAAUGUAAAAAAAAAAAAUAAUAAUACUUUCAACUACAGAAAGGCUGCCAAGUUAACCACAGGGUUAAAAAAACUCGGACUGUUUUGGAUGCAUUGCGCCACCCUAGAUGCAUUGAACCGUUAGAUGGAUAUAAGAUAAGAAGAGGCAUGGCGAAAUUAUGGCUGCCAGGGGAAGUAUUUAUGAGUUCCAUUUAUGAGUCACUAAAUCACCAAUGCUGUUUGAAUUAAAGAAGCAUCACAUGCAUAUGGAGCCCACCUCGUUAGGGUUUGCAAGGCCACUUUUUUGAGACGUCCAUGGAAAAUUAAUCUGCUGUCCUGAUACGACAAUCCAGUGCAAAUAGGAAUUCCUUGUCUUGGAUACCGAGCCACUUCAGUCUUGAAUGACCGGAUAUAAAUAAUAAUUUGGUAUUAUUCUCGAAUAUACCUGAUAUAGAUUAUUUGCCAUUUUUUGAUAAAAUUUGGGCAUUUUGAGGACAACAAAAACCAGCACCUCACAUUGCAACAACGGAAAAUAUUUUUUCUUCUAAAACAAUAUUUAGACAGCCUUUUUUGCAAAAGACCUUAUUGAACACUUGCAUUAUAUGCCACAAAGGCUAGAAUUGUAUCAUAGCUAAAGUAACAAGAUUUGACGUUAUAUCAAGUGUUCAUGAGGCCUACGACAUGAAUAUUAUAUAGCAUCAUUUGACGGAAAGUAACACAUAUUGCAUACGUUCAUUUGUAUUCAUAUAAUUUUUUUUAAAGAUUAGAAGCAACAUCAGCAAAUAAGAGCAUGUUGAUUGUUGACCUUACAAAAAAAAAUGGAACGUUUCGGACUUAAUUAUUCUUACUUCAAGUCAUUUUUAUUUGAGAACAAACAGUAUGAUCAAUAUUUUGAACCAUGAAAAGAGGCAACAGAACCAUUGCAACCGCAGGUCAUUCAUUCAAUAAUGUUUGGACGCUGGCAGAAAGGAGGAAGAGGACAUUAGUUAAUCUCCAUACAUCACUGCAGACCAAUUGGAAAGCUGGGAACAAGUCGGACUACAAGAUUGGAACCAGACCUUUCUAUUCUUCACUUUAAUGUAGCAUAAACAAACAAAUAAGAAGAUUAAAUGAACUAAUUGGGGAUAGGUUUUCCAUGGAUAUCACUGUCAGUAGCACUAUUGCCACGGUUUAGUGAUUUGUUUGAUCCAAUUGCCUCACGGACUCAAAUAAGAGUUUACCGAGUGGCUAGGUUGCAUAAAGUAUGUCCAAAAACUAUGCAGCUUCGUGCACGUGAACAAUCUCUUCAUAUGACAUAGAAUGAGGAGAACAUUCUAUUUUACAAUUCGAAGAAUAAAUUAUUUUACCUCAAUUCUAGCUUGUGGCUUGAUGCUGACCACUUGACCGGAUUAAACAUAAUUAUUGCCUUCAAACUCUUUUUUAAGCAAUAACUUGGUUUUGAGAACACCACAUCAUUGUUGCUUGUCCGGAUUCGUGAAAAUAAAAAAGAUUUUUUGAUAAUUAGCUAUUAAUUUCUUCAAAUUUGCGAUUUUUCUACUGAGACAAGCAUAUGACAAACUACAUUUCUCAAUAAAAGUAAUUUUUUGAAGCAGUUUUCUUUACAUCCAAAUAUAUCUCAUAUCAACAAACCAAAAUAUUCGGAGAGGAUUUAGAUGUUGCAAAAUCUUGCAAAGCAGUCUCUUUCUUUUUUUUGUCAUUUUGAAUAAAGAUUCCAUAUAUCAAGCCAAGUACAUAUGCAUAUGCUAAGAUAAUUAUUUCAAUCGGAAGAUGCUAAAUUUAUUUGGUUUAAUUGUAGAUAUCCUAGAGAAGCAAAUCACUUAUUCAUGAUUUUUAUUAUCUCUAGCUUGUUAAUUUAUUGCCGGCCUGCCAUUCAACUUUCUGUCUUCACUCCUCACCGUAUGGGCCUGUCGUCAACUGGGACAGGAAAAAAAAACUGUUCUCUCCUAAAUGUUGGCAUGAAAUCCGGAGCUUUACGAAGAGUGAGCAGGCGAGCCAUGCCGGCGGCCUGGGGCGAUGGGUCCCACAUGGAAGCAGAUGAACACGCCUUUCUGGAUGCCGCCGCGACGCUGCCGACACGGCUCUCCGGUUAUCUUAAGAAUAUAAUUGGAGAUCAAAUGGUGGUUGUUUUUCCUUAGAAACCCUGAUAGCUAAUACUGUGAUACUCAGAUACUUCAUUUAAUGCAUCGUUUCUUAUUAAUUUGACUUGUAAAUUUCUUGCAACAAUGACGCUAGUGAAUAAUUCUCAGCCAUUGCUAUAUAUAUAUAUAUAUAUAUAUAUAUAUAUAUAUAUAUANNNNNNNNNNNNNNNNNNNNNNNNNNNNNNNNNNNNNNNNNNNNNNNNNNNNNNNNNNNNNNNNNNNNNNNNNNNNNNNNNNNNNNNNNNNNNNNNNNNNNNNNNNNNNNNNNNNNNNNNNNNNNNNNNNNNNNNNNNNNNNNNNNNNNNNNNNNNNNNNNNNNNNNNNNNNNNNNNNNNNNNNNNNNNNNNNNNNNNNNNNNNNNNNNNNNNNNNNNNNNNNNNNNNNNNNNNNNNNNNNNNNNNNNNNNNNNNNNNNNNNNNNNNNNNNNNNNNNNNNNNNNNNNNNNNNNNNNNNNNNNNNNNNNNNNNNNNNNNNNNNNNNNNNNNNNNNNNNNNNNNNNNNNNNNNNNNNNNNNNNNNNNNNNNNNNNNNNNNNNNNNNNNNNNNNNNNNNNNNNNNNNNNNNNNNNNNNNNNNNNNNNNNNNNNNNNNNNNNNNNNNNNNNNNNNNNNNNNNNNNNNNNNNNNNNNNNNNNNNNNNNNNNNNNNNNNNNNNNNNNNNNNNNNNNNNNNNNNNNNNNNNNNNNNNNNNNNNNNNNNNNNNNNNNNNNNNNNNNNNNNNNNNNNNNNNNNNNNNNNNNNNNNNNNNNNNNNNNNNNNNNNNNNNNNNNNNNNNNNNNNNNNNNNNNNNNNNNNNNNNNNNNNNNNNNNNNNNNNNNNNNNNNNNNNNNNNNNNNNNNNNNNNNNNNNNNNNNNNNNNNNNNNNNNNNNNNNNNNNNNNNNNNNNNNNNNNNNNNNNNNNNNNNNNNNNNNNNNNNNNNNNNNNNNNNNNNNNNNNNNNNNNNNNNNNNNNNNNNNNNNNNNNNNNNNNNNNNNNNNNNNNNNNNNNNNNNNNNNNNNNNNNNNNNNNNNNNNNNNNNNNNNNNNNNNNNNNNNNNNNNNNNNNNNNNNNNNNNNNNNNNNNNNNNNNNNNNNNNNNNNNNNNNNNNNNNNNNNNNNNNNNNNNNNNNNNNNNNNNNNNNNNNNNNNNNNNNNNNNNNNNNNNNNNNNNNNNNNNNNNNNNNNNNNNNNNNNNNNNNNNNNNNNNNNNNNNNNNNNNNNNNNNNNNNNNNNNNNNNNNNNNNNNNNNNNNNNNNNNNNNNNNNNNNNNNNNNNNNNNNNNNNNNNNNNNNNNNNNNNNNNNNNNNNNNNNNNNNNNNNNNNNNNNNNNNNNNNNNNNNNNNNNNNNNNNNNNNNNNNNNNNNNNNNNNNNNNNNNNNNNNNNNNNNNNNNNNNNNNNNNNNNNNNNNNNNNNNNNNNNNNNNNGCAUGAUCGAUGUUAUCUUUUCCUUUAGUAACGUACUGUUGGUACAUAUUUGCACUUCGACCUAGACCGUUCGAGUAAGGUUAGCAUGUCCGACUAGCCUUUCUAUGUAUUCUUCACUUGGGUCUACAAGCCCAAUAUUGGGCAGCUGUGAAGUAAAAACUCAUGGAGCCGCCAACCCCCUGUUUUGGCCAUCUACAAAGCUACAAGGUUACACCGGAGACCCUGGUAAUACGUAAUCAAGUCAAGAUAAGCUGGGAUCCCAUUUCGGAGCUCAUGCUCCCACAAAACACAAGAUAACGCCAAACAGUAAUGCCAACUGCCGUCGAUAAGUGCACAACCGUAUCACCCGUCAUCACGUCCCAUCCCACCAACCCCUGCGUCUUCGCCCCAUCCCUCCCUCUUCUUCCAUCCAAACCCAGAAACUUUUCUCUCCCCUCAACCCCGCUGCUUUAUGCAAACCCCCAGGCACCGUCCUCUCAGCCCCAAUCCACGUCCGCGUCCUCUAUUAGAGAAAAACACCUCUUGCUCGCAGGGAGCAAAGAGGGAGAGAGAGAAAAAAACCAUCAACUUAUAAUAAGUACUAUAAAUCCACCCACAAACACCGCAAUUAACUUAUGAUCAACCAAAAUGAAUAUUUAUUAUACUAUCAUAGUUUACAUGGAUCACAUAUCAGAUUCACUGUUACUUUUUGUAACAAUCCAGAUUUUCACCUUAAAAAUAUUAAUGAGAAGAUAUUUGAAUUUUUUGAUCCUGUGUAGAUACCUAAAAUCUACUAAUAUAGAACUAAAUGCACACCUCCUCCUACAAUAAAAUCUAUAAAAUCUAGAUGGAAAAUGUAUAUAAAGAAAAGAAAGCCAACGAACAGGCAGCUGAAAGAUGUUUGAAACUUGAGUUCAGAAUCAUAUUAAGAUUACCCAUAAAUAAUUGUCAGAUAGAUGUGAUCGUACUAUUAAAAAGAAGAAGAAGAAGAAGAAUUGACUCGAAUUUGCCGUAGAGAAUUGAAGCUCUCAGGUUGAAUUAUUUACCGGAUGGAUGGCUGCCUCUAGACAGCCAAAAAUCAGUUGCUUGAUUUCUCUUAAGCUCCACUUGUUCAAUCGGCUCGCUCAGAGACUGUUUAUAUUAGCUACAGCAUAUGAAGGCAAGCGUCGUGGCCUUGCAAAAUAGGGCAAACAGAUGGGCUAUAUUUUCACUGCUGCCAUUCCAUCUCUUCAACCUACAUGUUCUCCAAGCAAAAUUUAAGUACUUAAUAAGUGCCUUCGAUUUUGAUCUUCCUCGCCAAAAACAUACCCAGGAUGAGAGCCCUCAGUAACAUAUGCGUGACACUCGUGCAACUCACCUAAUUAAUUCAAUCUCAAUAAUAUGGAAGCUCAUUAGAUUUUAAAUAAGGAAAAUAUAAGACAUACCAUCACAAACAGUUACCCCUGUUUAACAUAAAUGCAAGACUGAAGGCACUAAAUAAGUUCAGAUGGGCAUAAAGACACAUUCUUGUUCCCUGAGACAUGGGAACUCACAGAUAGGCUCAAAUUGAAAAACAGAGAGCCAGAGUUCCAUCCAUAAAAUGUCAGGGUCAUGGAUGAAAGCUAGACCGAUGAUCCAGAAAUCAAAACAAAGAAUAAUUUCAGUCACCUCUUGGUAUCGUCUUUCAGAAACUUAUAAGAUGAUCGCUUUCUAGACAUAUAUGUGCCGAUGGAGUAAAGACCUCUUGAUUGUUAUUUUAAGGGCCUCUCCACAAAUAGGCAUGCAGCUGUACCUGAUACAAGUGGGGGAAAGCAUGAUACAAAAAAAUAGUUUAUUAAAAAGUUUAUCUCUACCUUCCAUGAGCAUGGAAAUCAUAAUAUCCUCCUGAGCAAUGAUACUUUUUAUCAACAUAAGUCUUUAUUUUGAUGCAACGAAAAAAUUUAUUUAGGUAGAGCCUGCCCCAAGCCUUUGGUCAAUAGCCAAAGCUUGCGAUAUCUUAUAAGUGGAUAUGUUUUCUGGCUGUUAAGCCAUUUCUCACUCAAAGCAAGUUCAAAAGAACCCUCUCCUGAGCUUGCCAUCUUGUAUUGAACCCAUAGUAUGCUGAACCGACCCGUACCGGCCGGUUCAGCACAUACCAUAUCGGUCUGGGCCCUGACCGGUACGGCAGAGCCGUGGAAACCAGUACAUGGCCCGUAGAUGCCGAACCCAGCCAGAGCCGAGGAAGAAGAAGAGAACAAGAGAGUGAGCGGGGGCGGGAGGGAGAAGGAGAGGCCUCCGCCGCCGCCCGCAAAGGACCGUGGGGGGCCGGCGGAGGCCCAAGGGGGGCAAGUUUUUUUAAUUUGGAGAUUUUUAAGUGACUUGCUGACUUAACUUAAAAGUCCUAAUUUUUUUUCUGCGGCCGCGCCCCCGCGGGCUCCGCCGCCCCCCCGCGGCCCUCCGCGAGCAGUGGAGGCCUCUCCUCCCUCCCUCCCCCGCUCGCUCUCUCUUUCUCUUCUUCUUCCUAGGCUCUGGCUGGGCGCACCCGCUUCCGCGGGGAAGAGCUGGCCGGUUCGGUAUUGGUUUAAAUUGAUCCGAACCAGAACCAUACCGGUCCGAUAGGCGACCGGUAUGCCUAUCGGUACCGGUACGGCGUACCUUAAUUGAACCCACUACUAUUAGAUUGAGUUCGUAACAUAAAGUUCAUACCUGACUUUUGAUUAACUGACAGUAUUAAGAUAACUUGCUAAACAUAGAAGGCUGUCAACAAGUAGUUACCUCUAUAACUAUGCAGAAACACAUUAUGUAGACCAGUAGGACAAGUUAUCUUCUCCAAAGCUGAAGGUCUUAUAUUGCCAUUUUCAUUUCUAUCUUGUAGUGAGGGUUGUACCCAACAAGCUCGAAGUCGGAUGCAACAAAGGAAUCUACAUCCUUCUUCAAAGGGUUGAUCUUCAGAAUCUGUGUUUGAUGAACGAAAAAAAGUGGUAACAUAAAAUCGAAUAAUUGGAAUACUACAAUUAACUUCAGACCAACCAUUUCUUCUUUUAUUCUACUUAAUUCUAUUAUUAGAAUAAUUUACAUAGCAUUGCUCACCGGGAAUGCUUUUGGUUGCUUUUGAAGCUGCUCUUCUAAAGGCCUCACAUGAGUUCUAUAAACAUGAGCAUCUCCUAUAACAUGGAUAAAAUCUCCAGGCAAAAGAUCUGCAUAUAGAAAACAGCCAUGAAGCAAAAUAAUAACAAAAGCACUGGUCCAUGUAAGGAGACAAACAAAUGUAUAUAGACAAAAUAAAAGGAAAAGGAUCAUUAAUGUGUAGCAAUCUCAUCAGUAUGAUUUUUUAUGCAAAUGGCUUCAAAUAACUACAACAGAGUAUAUCCAUGGUUCUAUAUGCAUUAUGCAUCCUAGUUGGAAUCCAUAACCUAAUUUGCACAGGUAGGGAAAAAGCAAGAACCAAGGAGAUUUUCAUCAGCCCAACAUAUUCUAUAAAUUGUCCCCCCAAAACCCAACGUGCCCACCAAAUCCCAAAAUAGAAAUAAUUAAAAAAUACUGAUAGAAGUGGAUGACAGAUUGAACAGCUAAAUAUAAGGUGGACUAUGCACUAAAGCAAGGAACAGAUUUCGUACCAAAAGGUUGAUAACUAAACAUGCAAGUAACCACCUUUAAGCAUCCUUCAGACCUUCCAAAGACUACUACAUAAUACCACAUUUCUAUGCUUAAACUGGCUUCUUUAGAUACAUAUGAUGAGGAUCCUAAAUGCUAGAGGGAGCAAAUUACUGCUGGAACAUUAAGGCUUCCUGCAAGCUCCAAGCCUUUAUUUGGCUGGUCAUCUAGAAUCCUCAGAGAAGAGAACCUCUGAAUGAGGGCAUCAAAUUUGAAUGAAAAUGCACUUUUUCAGUCAAAGAUGAGAGCAUGGAUCAUGUGCUUCCUUCCUUCACCUAGACAUUGUGGCAAGAUUCUAGUUUUGACCGAGCUAUAAAUUGGUGUCUCAAGACAUACAACCUUGGUUAUUAGCUUGGAGCUCCCAACUGCUGUGUGAUAGGGCUACAAAAGAAUGGAGCUUGACAUUCCAUAUAGUUCGGUAGGCAUUUGGAAAGAGUCAUAGAAGUAUUCUCUAGAAAGUGAGACGGUGUCUUGAUUAUUUGUAGUCAACCAUGCUCAACUUCUGAUUUGUCAAAAGAACCUCCCAAAAUACCAAACAAUGCAUUAUUUGCAACCAAUAUACACCUCAGCACAUUUAACUCCCAAAGAACCUCCCAAAAUAUCAAACCAUUAAAUAUUGGCAUCUAUAAACUCUUCAAAAAAUGUUUAUUGCACUCCAAUAACUAUGUAUUUCCUAACAUGUAGAUCAUGCAUAAGGUUAGCCAGUUUUAGCAAUCAUAUUCAGAUGUAUUGACUUGCUGGCAUCAAAAUAUAAUCCAUACCCAGGCAGCUCAUGAAUAUUUAACAGUUUCUUAAGCAUAAAACAAUUCAACAAAUUCUGUGAAAACAAAGAUAACAUACCGCAAACUUGAGCAAUCAUGCAUGUCAAAAGCGAAUACGACGCAAUGUUAAAUGGCACACCAAGACCCAUGUCUGCAGACCGUUGGUACAUUUGGCAUGAUAGCUCACCAUUCUCCACAUAAAACUGGGGAGAAGCAACAACUUUUAUAGAUAGAAACAGAAAGAGGAGCAUGCACUGAAAAAGUAUGAUUAAGAUCUAAAUAAAGAAAAAUAAAUAAACAUAAAUUACAUGUGUGACAAAAGUCAUCCCACACCAAGAAAAUGUUUUCAAAUAUCACUUUCACAUAGCUUCUAAAGUCUCUGAAAUCAUUUCACUCCCCCUUCCAGAGAGAGGGAGAGAGAAAGAGAGAGAGAGAGGAGGAGAGAGAGAGAGAGAGANNNNNNNNNNCAGAGGCCUAUUCUGAAGAGGAAUGCUUUCCCAUGUUUUCCUACCCAUUAUCACAGCAUUCUUUUUUACAGGAUCUGAUGUAGUCAUAGUAACCUCCUUAAAAAUUUAAGGUCGGAUGGCAGCUUCCAUGGCAACUUCCCAUCCUUCCCAAUACCCAUAUCUCGAGUGCCAGCAACAACAACCUGAAAAGUUCUUUUAGGAUCAUGUUGCGUAUUACCAUUUGAAAUGUUUGUGGGAAUGUCACCAGCCAUAACUGGAAUGGAAUGGCAAUAGCUGCACUUUAUCACUUUGUUAAAAAUUCCAACUCCUAGGCAAUGCCUCUCAAGUCCAAUGCGAGAUAAGCAACUUUUGCUCAAAACUGGUACAAUCUCACAAACUGAAGCGGGAAAACCCAACGAGGGCCUCUGAGAAGAUCUCGGCCCACUCACUUCCUUCCGGGUCGCCGGCACGACUCCCGGAGACCUCUCCGCUUUUGCUUUCCAGAAGCCAGCCGGAUUUCAAAGCCACUGGUACCGCGCUUGGAUGCUUUUCUUGCCGGUCGGGAAUGGCGCUCGUCGCCGAUCGCCGGUUGCCGGUCGAGAAUGGCGCUCGUCGCCGAUCGCCGGUUGCCGCUCGGGAGGGCGGAAGGUGUUGGGAAGUGGGAAAGAACCCUAGCCGGCCUUGAGAGAGAGAGAGAGAGAGAGAGAGAGGCUUGCAACAAGUGAAUAACCUAAACAAGCAAAUUAUCAAGCAGUAAUAAUAGAUGAGAUCAUGAGCCUAUUGAUUUAUGCUAAAGGUGAAAACCUUAAUAUUCAAAAUGUGUUAAAUGGCCAUUUUACGGCAAUUGGCAGCAGGUAAGGAUCCUCAGAUGAGAGGAUUGAUACCAAUAUGGAUGCUUUUGGGUAAAUGGAACCCUGUCCCCUGUUUUGGCUGCCAUUUAACCAUAAAUUCUUGCCCAAGUUCCAUUUAUCAAUUAGUCCAUAAUAUACAAUAUAUAUACACCUUUUACAUGGGCCAGGAAUUAAAAAUUAAAUAGCCAUAAAAACCGAGGUCCAGGAAUAAAAAUUUCUAGUCAACAAGUUCUAGAUGUGCAGUCAAAACAACUGGUGGAGUUAAUUUUCCUAAUGCAUUUGCUACCAUUCCAAGUGCUAAAAAGAGUAGUUACUAAUUGUCUUCUAAGAACAUUUCUACGUUAAUCUUGCAUUGCUUCACAGACAAGAACAGGAUGUGGCAGUAAUGUCAAGGCUGGGAAAUAUAGAAAUAUCAAUAGCUCAUUUCAGCCCAAUGGGUUACACUUGUCCUCACUUUUUGAAAGAUAAGGUUUAAAAGUUUCCAGGACUAAUUUAAUAAUAAACUGUGCUUUAAGAAAAAUGCAUAAGCAUACAACAACACCUGAAAAUGAUUACUGAAUAACAAAUUCAACAGCUAAAACCUACGGUGGUGCAACGGGUUCAUAUUAUUUAGAAUUUCUGCAUAAUCACUAACUUGU
rnacentral:lncRNA from 1 species